AGCUCAACUGGCAUAACAUAGUUUAUAAAGAAAAUGUUCUACAUUCUACUUUGGUAGGCCCAGGGAGGCAGAAGACUCAAUGACCUCGGAGGAGAAGGGCUCCAAGGAAAGAAGAAUGGCCUGACUCUAGGAGAAUUUUGGAUCUUUUGAACCCAGAAGGAAAAGAGGACCAGACAGGAGGUAGUUUCCAUAAAUGGAGGUUCUCAGCACAGUAACCCUGAGUCCAAAAGAUGUGCUUGUCUUCAGGCUCCUCUUGAUGGUAUGAGGUUCCCCCUCAAUCUCUGUGGGAUUGGCCCUUAGG